GCUAAUUAUUCGUGUUUAUAGAUAUGUCUAAAUUGUUCACAUAAUAUUAAUUAUUUUAUUUAUAAAUUUAGUCUGAAGAAGAUGAGCCUUUUGAGUCUUAAAACACAGCAAGUACUUACAUGUAUAUGAAGAUUAAUAAAAAGUUUAAAAAGAAGACAUCGUUGUAAAAUUACUACAUUCAUGAGAUAAUCCAGCUGAUCGACUAACAAAAGUUCAAAAACACAAUUGAUUUGAUGGAUUCAAAUAUUCAAUUGGGAAGGACUAUGUAAUUGUACCCUGACUUCUUCUAACUUGCUAAAGUUGUACAUUGCCGUGGACGUAUAAAAUAUUGACAAUUAUCUGUCAGUCGCAGAGAGUCCACCACCAUAUAAUUCAAAACUGGAUGUAAAUACGAAUCAUGGGCCAUUCUUCGACAAUUGAUAACAACCAAUUUUUACUCUAACAGACGGAGUUACUAACCGUAAAAACAAAAUGUAAAAUAUAUACAUUAAUACGUAAUAUUUAGUUGUAGCCACGGACAUAAAUAAGUUCUUAAUAGUUAUAGCAAUUAGGAGACUUAUAGGUUAAAUAUAUAAUCAUGCUUCCACAUAAGUACAAACUACAAAGUUACUACUUUUUUUCGCUAUUUUAUUUUAUUAUUAUUAUUAAAUAUGACAUUAUACAUAUGUAUAAACUAUACAUACAGUAAAAAGGAAAAAAAGGGAAUUAUAAAUAUAAUUAUUAAUUACAUAAAUUUAAAUUUAAAUACAGUUAUUAAGCUAAUCAUAAGAUUAUAUUAUGUUAAUUAUAUAUAGGUAUA